rnacentral:lncRNA from 1 species
CAGAGGUCACUCUGCUAUUUUAAAAAAAUAGGUCACGUAGAUUGCGGACUUAGUAGUGCAACCAACUAGAUUGCACCGCAUGACAACUGUGUUAGGCAAAUCUAGCACGAAUUCAAACAAGUGGGAGACGUGUGUGUAUGAUGAUUCGACGGCCUAUGUUUAAGAUGUCGAUCCAACGGUGGAAGUGUAAAUGUCGUUCCAAUAGCUCCAAGGCCCAGAAGGGGAAAUUAUGGUGAUCGUG